CCAAGAUACCUUGAUCAUGAAGGAGGUUUUCCCAGGGUGAGGCUCAUCCAUUGCAUUCCGGGUGUGCUGACCCCUCCGAUUUCCCCAAACGUGGGAAACACAA
rnacentral:snRNA from 1 species